rnacentral:rRNA from 1 species
AGCGACUGUUUAUCAAAAACACAGGUCUCUGCUAAACCGUAAGGUGAUGUAUAGGGGCUGACGCCUGCCCGGUGAUGGAAGGUUAAGAGGAGUGGUUAGCUUAUGCGAAGCUACGAAUCGAAGCCCCAGUAAACGGCGGCCGUAACUAUAACGGUCCUAAGGUAGCGAAAUUCCAUGUCGGGUAAGUUCCGACCCGCACGAAAGGCGUAACGAAUUGGGCACUGUCUCAACGAGAGACUCGGUGAAAUCAUAGUACCUGUGAAGAUGCAG